AGACGCGGUUUUUUCAUUCGAAAGAAAAUAAAUUGGAAUAAUGGGUUGAGUGCGGGAACAAGGGAAGGGAAAACAGAAGAAAAAUUGUUUGUGAUAAUUGAAUAGGUAAAAUAAUAAAUUGUUUUUGUUAGAGGGGAAGUCAUUGAAAUCGGGGGAGAUGUCCUGGAGAUCAUGGAGAUGAUCUCCAGAGAUUCUGGUGGGUUUUUUCAUUUUGGGCAGGCAGUUUUGCACCUAGAGUCAGUGUCGAUGAUUUUUUUCGGGGGUUUUUUAUUUGUGAGUGAGGUUAUUGCAUAAUUUUCAACAGAUAUUUUCAUCCCCGACUACGAAUAUUCAUACAGGAUUUUGGUAGCCAAGGAGCUAAAUACGUCGGUGUCAGCACCCGGAGCUUCAAAAGGAGGAGUCGCACCACAACUUUUCCAUUUUCAUCAUCGAGAAAUCCCUUCCGACGCAGAAAUCAUCGAAUGAAGCAAGUGAAUCCCGGGAGAGACCGAGGGUUCAGCUCGAAGGUGAGGAUGGAAGAGGUCACUAAUGGUUGCCGGAAUCGGACAUGAACAAAGGAUGUAAAGUCAACUGAGAAAAAGUUUGUUCCGGAAGAGCUAGUAUCCGAAAUAAAAAAGAGAAAGAAAAUAGUGAAGAAUCAUUAGUAACAGCUUUUGUCUCUUAUCACUCGGAAUCUAACUUGUUCACUCGGAGCAAAAGGCAAUGCACCUUGAAACAUUCAAAUUAGAAGGAUAAAUCUCACACGAGAAAACGAG